rnacentral:tRNA from 1 species
UCUCUUUUUUUGAAGUGUUUCACAUUAUCUUUUCGAGAUAAAAAUAGUCAUUGACUCAAACUUUAAA